GGCCUAAUGGUCUAGAAGUAUGAUACUCGCUUUGGGUGUUUCCUGACUGCGAGUGGUCCGGGGUUCAAUUCCCCGUUAGGCCC